rnacentral:rRNA from 1 species
GAUGAACGCUGGCGGCGUGCCUAAUACAUGCAAGUCGAGCGAAUGGAUUAAGAGCUUGCUCUUAUGAAGUUAGCGGCGGACGGGUGAGUAACACGUGGGUAACCUGCCCAUAAGACUGGGAUAACUCCGGGAAACCGGGGCUAAUACCGGAUAACAUUUUGAACCGCAUGGUUCGAAAUUGAAAGGCGGCUUCGGCUGUCACUUAUGGAUGGACCCGCGUCGCAUUAGCUAGUUGGUGAGGUAACGGCUCACCAAGGGAACGAUGCGUAGCCGACCCGGGGAGGUGGUGCGCCAACCCUGGGACUGAGACACGGCCAAGCCCCCUACGGAGGGAGGCAUAAGGAAAUUUUCCGAAAGGACGAAAGUCUGACGGAGCAACGCCGCGUGAGUGAGGAAGGCUUUCGGGUCGUAAAACUCUGUUGUUAGGGAAGAACAAGUGCUAGUUGAAUAAGCUGGCACCUUGACGGUACCUAACCAGAAAGCCACGGCUAACUACGUGCCAGCCGCCGCGGUAA